AGGGCACCACCAGGAGUGGAGCCUGCGGCUUAAUUUGACUCAACACGGGAAAACUCACCCGGCCCGGACACCGUAAGGAUUGACAGACUGAGAGCUCUUUCUUAAUUCGGUGGGUGGUGGUGCAUGGCCGUUCUUAGUUGGUGGAGCGAUUUGUCUGGUUAAUUCCGAUAACGAACGAGACUCUGGCCUAUUAAAUAGACGGUAUAUCGAAAAGUAUAUCGCACUUCUUAGAGGGACAAGCGGCGUCUAGCCGCAUGAAAUAGAGCAAUAACAGGUCUGUGAUGCCCUUAGAUGUCCGGGGCUGCACGCGCGCUACACUGAAAGAAUCAGAGUGCGCUUUGCCUAGUUCGGAAGAACUGGGUAACCCAAGUAAAUUCUUUCGUGCUUGGGAUAGGGAAUUGCAAUUAUUUCCCUUAAACGAGGAAUUCCCAGUAAAUGCGGGUCAUAAGCUCGCGUUGAUUACGUCCCUGCCCUUUGUACACACCGCCCGUCGCUACUACCGAUUGGAUGACUUAGUGA
rnacentral:rRNA from 1 species